rnacentral:lncRNA from 1 species
AACCAGAAUUUAUAGAAAGAUUAACAGAUUUCCUAGGUGUAGCUAAAAGUGCAUUAUCUUCUUGAUUAAAAGAUAGGACCUCAGCUAUAGAAAAGGGUUGGUUUUGACCUAUUGCAAUCAACUCCGGACGCAGAUCAUAAUUAGGGGUAGGACUUGUUGACUCCCAAGGUCUUUGGCUGGUCUCCGAAGGUGCAAAGAAUUCAAUAAUAGGUAUGGAAUUUAAGUUAUCCAUAAAGAUAAAAAUAAAAAGAUAAAAGAAUAAAAGUAUAAAAGUAUAAUACAAGAUAAUAGCAAGACUUAAAGUUAUCUCAGCAAACUGUCUUUCUCCCCGGC